UACGUAGGGUGCGAGCGUUAAUCGGAAUUACUGGGCGUAAAGCGUGCGCAGGCGGUUUGCCAAGACAGAUGUGAAAGCCCCGGGCUCAACCUGGGAAUGGCAUUUGUGACUGGCAGGCUAGAGUGUGUCAGAGGGGGGUAGAAUUCCACGUGUAGCAGUGAAAUGCGUAGAGAUGUGGAGGAAUACCGAUGGCGAAGGCAGCCCCCUGGGAUAACACUGACGCUCAUGCACGAAAGCGUGGGGAGCAAACAGG
rnacentral:rRNA from 1 species